rnacentral:rRNA from 1 species
UUGUAUCCUGGCUCAGGAUGAACGCUGGCGGUAUGCUUAACACAUGCAAGUCGUACGAAAGUUUUUAACUUUAGUGGCGAACGGGUGAGUAAUACGUGAGAAUCUGCCCUUAGGAGGGGAAUAACUGUUGGAAACGACCGCUAAAUCCCCAUAUGCCGAGAGGUCAAAUAGUUUCGACUGCCUAAGGAUGAGCUCGCGCCUGAUUAGCUUGUUGGUGAGGUAAUGGCUCACCAAGGCCACGAUCAGUAGCUGGUUUGAGAGAAUGAUCAGCCACACUGGGACUGAGACACGGCCCAGACUCCUCCGGGAGGCAGCAGUGAGGAAUUUUCCGCAAUGGGCGAAAGCCUGACGGAGCAAUACCGCGUGAGGGAUGAAGGAUUUUGGUCUGUAAACCUCUUUUCUCAAGAAAGAAGUUCUGACGGUACUUGAGGAAUAAGCAUCGGCUAACUCCGUGCCAGCAGCCGCGGUAAUACGGGGGAUGCAAGCGUUAUCCGGAAUCAUUGGGCGUAAAGCGCCUGUAGGUUGUUUAGUAAGUUCGUUGUUAAAGACUAGGGCUUAACCCUGGAAAAGCGAUGAAAACUACUAGGCUUGAGUAUGGUAGGGGUAGAGGGAAUUUCUAGUGUANCGGUGAAAUGCGUANAUAUUANAAAGAACACCGGUGGCNAAAGCGCUCUACUGGGCCAUUACUGACNCUGANAGGCNAAAGCUANGGGANCNAAAGGGAUUANAUACCCCUGUANUCCUANCCNUAAACNAUGGANACNANGGUGUUGUAUUUUCNUACNNUAUCNNANCUAACNCNUCAAGUUUNCCNCCNGGGGAGUACNCUCNNNAGGNUGAAACUNNAAGGAAUUUGACGGGGCCCCNCACAANCNGNUGGANCNUGUGGUUUUAAUUU